GGGCUGGGGCUCAGCGGUAGAGUGCUCAACUAGCAUGUGCGAGGCUCUGGGUUCAAUCCUAAGCACCUCA
rnacentral:tRNA from 1 species